rnacentral:ncRNA from 1 species
ACAAAAGCAAUGAAGAGAAAGAGUACCUUGGCGAAGUCUUUUUAGCAGAGAGCCCCGGACGGUGAAAAGGGGUAAAGAUGCGAACCUUGGGAACAUGGUCUCAGAGCUGCGCACCGAAACCCAUGCGGUUGUAGGCUGCGCCGGAACCCGCACCCGUUAACGUGCUAGUAUACACGCUAUCAUAAUAGCGCCGUACCUGAAGAGGUGAAUGCCGCGAGGCAUUGAUGAAACUGGGUGGUACCACGUGAGCGACAAGCUCUCGUCCCUUUU